rnacentral:sRNA from 1 species
UUAUAGCCCCGAUAGAAACGGCAUCCUUUUGUGAGGACGAAGGACGAGCAAAAGAUACAGUGGAUAGCGGGACGGGUU